AUGCGGGUUCAUAUGGGCGCGGGUGGUCGUGCCAUCGCCUGCAUAUUUGUGUGGCCGCCGAGGGCAGUUUCAUCAUUUCAUAUUAUUGCCCUCGUGUGGCACUUCGUGGGUGGCUGGUCCAUGCCUAAAGGCGAGAGAGCGAUUGGAUCCGAGGGAACCCUAGCCGAUGCCACUGUUCCUCUGCUCUCCCUCUCUAUGUAUGGCCCGAGCCAUCACCUCUCUGCGCCUCCCCACGGGAUCCUGCCGCCAACGCACCUCGCCCCCGGGGCUUUGUCCCUGUCCCUCCUCCUCCUCCGACCCAGCGCCGCAGGGCCCAUCGCUCGGCGCCUCCCACCGGCCUGCGUCGCCGUGCAGCCCUCCGUCGCGCCGGCCCCCGCCACCUCCAUGGGCACCGCCACCUUCGAGCAGGUGCAUGUGCGCCGCAAUGCCUCCCUUCCUCUGUUCCCUUUGGUGAUUGACCGUGUUUUCCUUUCAAUCCCCUGUCCUGUAGCCGCGGUGAUGCCAGGCGCUGGAGCAGCUGUUUGGCGGGGCCGACUUCUCGGAGGACGAGGCGGAGGCAACGAUGUGCUGCUGCUCAACAAGAAGAACGAGGCACGGAUCGCCGCCUUCCUCGUGCUCCUUCGGGCUAAGGGCGAGACCUACGAAGAGAUCGUCGGGCUGGCCAAGGUGAUGAUGAGCAACUGCGUCUGUGUCGAGGGGCUGCACGAUGCUGUAGACAUUGUCGGCACUGGCGGCUACGGCGUGGACACCAUCAACAUCUCCACCAGCUCUGCCAACCUCGUCGGCGCCAAGGUCGCCAAGUUUUCACCUUUUUGGAAAGGAGAAACGGAUAAGCACCAUUUGACUAUCUUGCCACGCUAUUCGCCCUUCCACCUCGUAAUGGUUAGUAACGCCUAA
rnacentral:rRNA from 1 species